AUUGAACGCUGGCGGCAUGCUUUACACAUGCAAGUCGAACGGUAACAGGCCUUCGGGUGCUGACGAGUGGCGAACGGGUGAGUAAUGCAUCGGAACGUACCCAGAGGUGGGGGAUAACGCAGCGAAAGCUGUGCUAAUACCGCAUGUGAUCUGAGGAUGAAAGCGGGGGACCGAGCAGCAAUGUUUGGCCUCGCGCCCUUGGAGCGGCCGAUGUCGGAUUAGCUAGUUGGUGGGGUAAAGGCCUACCAAGGCGACGAUCCGUAGCUGGUCUGAGAGGACGACCAGCCACCCUGGGACUGAGACACGGCCCCGACUCCUACGGGAGGCAGCAGUGGGGAAUUUUGGACAAUGGGCGCAAGCCUGAUCCAGCAAUGCCGCGUGCGGGAAGAAGGCCUUCGGGUUGUAAACCGCUUUUGGCAGGAACGAAACGGUGUCCGCUAAUACCGGGCGCUAAUGACGGUACCUGCAGAAUAAGCACCGGCUAACUACGUG
rnacentral:rRNA from 1 species